GAGCAGUAGUACCAUUUCAGAUCAAAGAACUAGUCAUAUAGCUACAGCAUCGAAACAAUCACUAAUAAAUGAAUAGAAAUCCAAGUGAUCUCUCGUAUGGUCACGCUUAGUACUAGUUGUUCUCUAACAACUAUCCACACUCAUCGUCCAGUAUCUCUACACUGUAAAUUAGAGACUCAUCUAUCUCAAAAAAAGUGAUCUA
rnacentral:lncRNA from 1 species